UUAUCAAUAAGUUUAGAGUAAUUGCUACUUCAUGUUCACUAGGUUCCAUCAGCAUAAUGUCAUCAAUGUAAUGGACCAGGGUAAUAUCUUGUGAAAGGGGAAGGUAAUCAAGAUCCCUGCAAACUAAAUUGUGACAUAGGGCUGGAGAGUUGAUAUGCCCCUGAGGUAGGUCAGUGCAGGUAUAUUUAGCCAUGCCAGCCAUAAGCAAACUGCUUCUGGUGAGCCUUAUGGAAAGCUAUGGAGAAAAAGGCAUUCGCCAGUCCAAUAGCUAUGUACCAAGUACAAGAAGACGUGUUAAUUUGCUCAAACAGUGAAACCAUAUCUGGUACAGCCACUGCAAUAGAACUCACCAUUGGUUAAGCCUCUAAUAAGCCACUAUCAUUCUCCAAGAUCUAGGCCAAAUAGAAGAAUUGAAUGGUGAUGUGGUUGGAAUCACCACCCCUGCAUCUUUUAAGUCCUUGAUGGUGGCACUAAUUUCUGCAAUUCAUCUAGUUGAGUGCUGCCACUUGACGCCUGCCACUUCAGGAUCCAAUUAUUCCUACUGCAUUUAAGUUUUCCAAUUGAGUGACUGUGGCUCCUAUGGUAAGAUCUGGCCUACAGAGAGAAGCAGUAUCAGAGCUCUUCAGACAUGCUGUGGCUCUCCUCACAAAUCUCUUUCUCAUCAUCUAUUUUCUUAUUUAUUUUAGUGUCUAGUUGAUCUGUCAAAAAUUAAAGAAGUAUAAUAAAUCCUCCCAAAUCUGUUGUG